rnacentral:rRNA from 1 species
CAGCAGUCGCCACGGUAAUACGUAGGGUGCGAGCGUUAAUCGGAAUUACUGGGCGUAAAGCGUGCGCAGGCGGUUGUGUAAGACAGGUGUGAAAUCCCCGGGCUUAACCUGGGAACUGCGCUUGUGACUGCACAGCUAGAGUAUGGCAGAGGGGGGUGGAAUUCCACGUGUAGCAGUGAAAUGCGUAGAGAUGUGGAGGAACACCGAUGGCGAAGGCAGCCCCCUGGGCCAAUACUGACGCUCAUGCACGAAAGCGUGGGGAGCAAACAGGAUUAGAUACCCGGGUAGUCCCUGUCUCUUAUAC